rnacentral:rRNA from 1 species
CUCCAGACUCCUACGGGAGGCAGCAGUGGGGAAUAUUGCACAAUGGGGGAAACCCUGAUGCAGCGACGCCGCGUGAGCGAUGAAGUAUUUCGGUAUGUAAAGCUCUAUCAGCAGGGAAGAAAAUGACGGUACCUGACUAAGAAGCCCCGGCUAACUACGUGCCAGCAGCCGCGGUAAUACGUAGGGGGCAAGCGUUAUCCGGAUUUACUGGGUGUAAAGGGAGCGUAGACGGCUGUGCAAGCCAGAUGUGAAAGCCCGGGGCUCAACCCCGGGACUGCAUUUGGAACUGUGUGGCUGGAGUGUCGGAGAGGCAGGCGGAAUUCCUAGUGUAGCGGUGAAAUGCGUAGAUAUUAGGAGGAACACCAGUGGCGAAGGCGGCCUGCUGGACGAUGACUGACGUUGAGGCUCGAAAGCGUGGGGAGCAAACAGGAUUAGAUACCCCGGUACC